UGUGAUGGAGGUAGGGAUAGGUAUUUCAGUUUAAUUACGGAUUCAGUUUGGUGGAUUAUUUGGUCUAAGAAAACUUUAACCAAAAUCAACCAAUAUUAGUUGGGUUUGGUUUAUUUUCGGUUUGGUUCAGUUUUAGUUCAGUUCGGUUUUAAUUUUAGUUUGGUUUGUGUUUGAUUUAAUUGGUUUUGUUUUUAUUUUUCAAUUCCAUAGAGUUGAUUUUUUUUAGUUUUGUUCUAAUUCAAUUACAAAAAUAUAAUUUGUAAAAAAUAUAAACAAAUCUUUAUUUGAGAUUAAACCAUUAUUUUCUUUAUUUUUAAACGUAAAACCACACGUCACAAUAAAUAUGUAGAAGAUGUAAUCCAAUUUUUUCUAUAUAAUUAUCUUCAAAUCUAAUAUAAAUAUCAUAAAUAAUUUUUCAGUUUUGAUGUUAAUGUAUGAGAUUCAUAUUCUUUUAUUUUAUUUUUAGUUUUGUU
rnacentral:lncRNA from 1 species